ACUAACGCUGGCGGCGUGCCUAACACAUGCAAGUCGUACGAGAAAGUUGGCUUCGGCCGAUGAGUAAAGUGGCGCACGGGUGAGUAACGCGUGGAUAAUCUACCCCUCAGUUGGGAAUAACUCAUCGAAAGGUGGGCUAAUACCGAAUAAUACUGCAUGACUUCUGUUGUAUAGUCAAAGAUGGCCUCUGCUUGCAAGCUAUCGCUGAAGGAUGAGUCCGCGUACCAUUAGCUAGUUGGUAGGGUAAUGGCCUACCAAGGCAACGAUGGCUAGCUGGUCUGAGAGGAUGAUCAGCCACACUGGAACUGAGACACGGUCCAGACUCCUACGGGAGGCAGCAGUGAGGAAUAUUGCGCAAUGGGGGCAACCCUGACGCAGCAACGCCGCGUGAGUGAGGAAGGUUUUCGGACCGUAAAGCUCUGUCGAGCGGGAAGAAAUGCAUAGUGGCUAAUAUCCAUUAUGCUUGACGGUACCGCUAAAGGAAGCACCGGCUAACUCCGUGCCAGCAGCCGCGGUAAUACGGGGGGUGCUAGCGUUGUUCGGAAUCAUUGGGCGUAAAGAGCGUGUAGGCGGCUGGAUAAGUCAGAUGUGAAAGCCCUGGGCUUAACCCAGGAAGUGCAUUUGAAACUGUUCAGCUUGAGUAAGGGAGAGGAAAGUGGAAUUCCUGGUGUAGAGGUGAAAUUCGUAGAUAUCAGGAGGAACACCGGUGGCGAAGGCGACUUUCUGGCCCUAUACUGACGCUGAGACGCGAGAGCGUGGGUAGCAAACAGGAUUAGAUACCCUGGUAGUCCACGCUGUAAACGAUGUUCACUAGGUGUUGGGGGUAUUGACCCUCUCAGUGCCGCAGCUAACGCAUUAAGUGAACCGCCUGGGGAGUGCGGUCGCAAGAUUA
rnacentral:rRNA from 1 species